rnacentral:rRNA from 1 species
UUUUAUAGGAGUCGAGUUGUAAUUUUGAGAACUGUUUUCUGUGCUGGACCAUAUACAAGUCUGUUGGAAAACAGCAUCAUUGAGGGUGAUAAUCCCGUAGAUGAUAUGGACUACCAGUGCAAUAUGAUACAGUCUCUAAGAGUCGAGUUGUUUGGGAAUGCAGCUCAAAGAGGGUGGUAAAUUCCAUCUAAGGCUAAAUAUAGGUGAGAGACCGAUAGCAAACAAGUACCGUGAGGGAAAGAUGAAAAGAACUUUGGAAAGAGAGUUAACAGUACGUGAAAUUGUUAAAAGGGAAACAUUUGAAGUUAGACUUGUUAUUAUUGGUUCAGCUUCUCUUUUUUAAUUAGGAGUUUAUUCCAAUGGUUGACAGACCAGCAUCAAUUUUUGAGUGUUAGAUAAGGGUCUUGGAGAAUGUGGCAACUUUGGUUGUGUUAUAGCUCCUGGCUUGAUAUAAUGCUUAAGAUUGAGGAAC